rnacentral:rRNA from 1 species
AUUGAACGCUGGCGGCAUGCCUUACACAUGCAAGUCGAACGGUAACAGGUCUUCGGAUGCUGACGAGUGGCGAACGGGUGAGUAAUAUAUCGGAACGUGCCCAGUCGUGGGGGAUAACGCAGCGAAAGCUGUGCUAAUACCGCAUACGAUCUAUGGAUGAAAGCGGGGGAUCGCAAGACCUCGCGCGAUUGGAGCGGCCGAUAUCAGAUUAGGUAGUUGGUGGGGUAAAGGCCCACCAAGCCAACGAUCUGUAGCUGGUCUGAGAGGACGACCAGCCACACUGGAACUGAGACACGGCCCAGACUCCUACGGGAGGCAGCAGUGGGGAAUAUUGGGCAAUGGGGGGAACCCUGGACCCAGCAACGCCGCGUGAAGGACGAAGGCCUUCGGGUUGUAAACUCUUUGAACAGGGACGAAACAAAUAGACGGUACCUGAAGAACAAGCCACGGCUAACUACGUGCCAGCAGCCGCGGUAAGCUGUAGUCAUCUAAGACUACG